AACGAACGCUGGCGGCAGGCUUAACACAUGCAAGUCGAGCGCCCCGCAAGGGGAGCGGCAGACGGGUGAGUAACGCGUGGGAAUCUACCCAUCUCUACGGAAUAACGCAUGGAAACGUGUGCUAAUACCGUAUACGUCCUUCGGGAGAAAGAUUUAUCGGAGAUGGAUGAGCCCGCGUUGGAUUAGCUAGUUGGUGGGGUAAAGGCCUACCAAGGCGACUAUCAAUAGCUGGUCUGAGAGGAUGAUCAGCCACACUGGGACUGAGACACGGCCCAGACUCCUACGGGAGGCAGCAGUGGGGAAUAUUGGACAAUGGGCGCAAGCCUGAUCCAGCCAUGCCGCGUGAGUGAUGAAGGCCCUAGGGUUGUAAAGCUCUUUCACCGGUGAAGAUAAUGACGGUAACCGGAGAAGAAGCCCCGGCUAACUUCGUGCCAGCAGCCGCCGUAAUAC
rnacentral:rRNA from 1 species